rnacentral:rRNA from 1 species
UACGUAGGGGGCAAGCGUUGUCCGGAUUUAUUGGGCGUAAAGAGCGUGUAGGCGGCCAGGUAGGUCUGGUGUGAAAACUCGAGGCUCAACCUCGAGAGGUCAUCGGAAACCAUCUGGCUAGAGUCCUGAAGAGGAGAGUGGAAUUCCCGGUGUAGCGGUGAAAUGCGCAGAUAUCGGGAAGAACACCUAUGGCGAAGGCAGCUCUCUGGGACGGUACUGACGCUGAGACGCGAAAGCGUGGGGAGCGAACAGG